rnacentral:rRNA from 1 species
AAGUAAAAGUCGUAACAAGGUUUCCGUAGGUGAACCUGCGGAAGGAUCAUUAUCGUACAAAAUGUGAGAGGGGCAUGCGAGGGCUGUCGCUGACUCAAAGUCGUGCACGCCCGAGUGUGUCGCCUCACAUAAUAAUCCAUCUCACCCUUUGUGCAUCACCGCGUGGGCACCCCUUUGGGAUCAUCUCGGAGGGGGCUCGCGUUUUCACACAAAACCCCCCUUUUAAAAGUGUAGAAUGACCUCAUUUAUGCGUUAACCCGCAAUCAAUACAACUUUCAACAACGGAUCUCUUGGCUCUCGCAUCGAUGAAGAACGCAGCGAAAUGCGAUACGUAAUGUGAAUUGCAGAAUUCAGUGAAUCAUCGAAUCUUUGAACGCACCUUGCGCCCCCUGGUAUUCCGAGGGGCACACCCGUUUGAGUGUCGUGAAAACCUCAACCUCCUUGGUUUCUUCUGGAGACCAAAGCAGGCUUGGACUUUGGAGGCCUUUGCUGGCACCUCUCGCCAGCUCCUCUUAAAUGAAUUAGCAGGGUCCUCUUUGCUGAUCCUCGACGUGUGAUAAGAUGUUUCCAUGUCUUGGUUUCUGGCUCUGUCACCUUUGGGACCCGCUUCUAACCGUCUUCAACCUUGCGUUGAGACAACGUUCGAGCAUGUCUCCCUUCUCGGGAAGCUCCCUCGACCCCACGAACCCUUGACCUCAAAUCGGGUGAGACUACCCGCUGAACUUAAGCAUAUCAAUAAGCGGAGGAAAAGAAACUAACAAGGAUUCCCCUAGUAACUGCGAGUGAAGCGGGAAAAGCUCAAA